rnacentral:tRNA from 1 species
GGGCCAUUAGCUCAGGGGUAGAGCGAGAGGCUUUUAACCUCUGCGUCGUGGGUUCGAAUCCCUCAUGGCCCA